rnacentral:rRNA from 1 species
CCCUUAGAUGUCCUGGGCCGCACGCGCGUUACACUGAUGCAUUCAACGAGCUUAUAACCUUGGCCGAGAGGCCUGGGCAAUCUGUUAACGUGCAUCGUGAUAGGGAUAGAUUAUUGAAAUUAUUAAUCUUGAACGAGGAAUUCCUAGUAAACGCAGAUCAUCAAUCUGCAUUGAUUACGUCCCUGCCCUUUGUACACACCGCCCGUCGCACCUACCGAUUGGAUGGUCCGGUGAAGCCUCGGGAUUGUGGUUCUUGCCGCUUUAUUGUGGCGUGACCGCGAGAACUUGUCUAAACCUUAUCAUCUAGAGGAAGGUGAAGUCGUAACA